GUAGGCGUGGAGCUGGUGUGUCCCUAUGCACAUUUGUCAAAGAAACUCCCACAAAUUAGCAAAAACAUAACCUCCAUAGUAUUAGUUCUAUUUAAAUCACCUUUAGUACAGGGAACACAGAGAAAUCUGGCAGUGAAUCUUUCUUAUUCCUAUGUCUUAGUGUGUGUUAUCAACCUUGUAACAUAUUGACCCCUAUGGCCCAUUUAGUGAUGAAUAAAAUAAGGUGAUUUAAAUUGAAAUAAACCAACCAAGAGGAGCCCCGAAAUAUAGCAUGCAUAGCAGACACAUUGGACUGUUUAUAUUCACAUCAUCCCAAUGGUUCAAUGGACAGUUACUGGAUGUACACAAUUCACUAGCUCUUUGUUAUGUUGCUGUGGGCCCUGUACACUGCAUAUACGUGCUUUCAUCAGCUUUCAAGUGUUCCUGGUACACAUCUUUCCAAAUGUAUAUAUCAGUUCCAACUUCAUAGCUUCAUUAUAUUUUCUUGCUUUCAACAUUCAGACCCUUUGCCAAAUCAGCUCUUAAGGAGUAAACCAUAUAAAUCAUGCAAGCUGCAUCUACUCCAAAGACACAAGUUGCACAGAUACAAGGUUGGAAUGUGAACAUUUAUAGCCAAGGAAGCAGGCUGAAGG